rnacentral:rRNA from 1 species
GAUGAACGCUGGCGGCGUGCCUAAUACAUGCAAGUCGAGCGAACAGACGAGGAUCUUGCUCCUCUGACGUUAGCGGCGGACGGGUGAGUAACACGUGGAUAACCUACCUAUAAGACUGGGAUAACUUCGGGAAACCGGAUCUAAUACCGGAUAAUAUAUUGAACCGCAUGGUUCAAUAGUGAAAGACGGUUUUGCUGUCACUUAUAGAUGUAUCCGCGCCGCAUUAGCUAGUUGGUAAGUUAACGGCUUACCAAGGCAACGAUGCGUAGCCGACCUGAGAGGGGGAUCGGGCACAAUGGAAGUGAGACACGGUACAGACUCCUACGGGAGGCAGCAGUAGGGAAUGUUCCGAAAUGGGGGAAAGCCUGACGGAGGAACGCCGCGUGAGUGAUGAAGGUCUUCGGAUCGUAAAACUCUGUUAUUAGGGAAGAACAAAUGUGUAAGUAACGAUGCACGUGUGGACGGUACCUAAUCAGAAAGCCACGGCUAACUACGU